CGACAAGCGCAUCCGACGCCCUGGGCCCCCACCGCCGCACGCCGCGCGGGCAACGCACCACCGCCACGCCGCGCCGCAGCAAAAGCGAAGCCAGCGGGAAUGCACGAUCGCCGCCGCCGCGGCGCCUACUUCCCUGCCCCGCGUCGCUGCGGCCGUCGCCGACUCGGCUUGAGGAAGCGGUUGCUUGCCAAUGCCAGGUCCAAAAUUGAGUGCUAUGUUGGUUACAAGGCUUUCCCAGUAUGCUUUCAUAUGUUUAUCAUCAUGCUGAUGCCAUAUAGAGGCAAGAGCCUUUUAGCUUGUCAUCAAGUAGGAAUAUAUUGUUUUCUUUGUCUCGUCUCUCGUCUUUGUGUUUUCCUGGUACCACUGUAUAUUUUUUUUAUUUUGUUCAAUAAGAGGAUAAAAGCAAAAGCAUCUCUUAUGAGUUUGAAUUGGUCGCUUUUCCUAACAUCAACAUUUUCAGCAAACUAUAACCAUAUUAACUGAAUCAGGUUUUUAAUUUAAAAUAAAAACAUGGUGCUUUCAAUUGUGCUAUGUAUUGUAUCAGAUACUGCUGUAUGUUAUUUGAUUUUGUUCAAUAAGAGGACAAAAGUAUCUUAUGAGCUUGAAUUGGCCGCUUUUCCUAUAUUCACAUUUUUAACAAACUAUAUAGUCAUUUUAGCCGAAUCAGGGGUUUUAAUUAGAAAUAAAAAUACAGCGCUUUCAGUUGCAUGAUGUAUUGUGUCAGAUGGAAUCAGUGAUCUUUUUUAUAUUCUUUAUUCCAUUAGAUCAAUGAAUAACAUGAAACUUUGAUAUCCCAGGUUGUAGCCCUACCUUAUUUAUAUAGUUUGAUUUUUUUAUAUUGCUCCGUAUUUUCUGUUAUCUUCCACUUGCUAAUGAUGAUGUUUGCUGGAAAGCAAUGUACUGUUGUUGGCAAUGUUGAGAAUGCAUAUUACAAUACAAAUUAAAUGUCUUUUUUCAUCUGGAGGAGCACUACCACUCAGUUCCCAUUUUGAUGCCUUACUACUACAUCUACUUCUCUUCAUACUUCUUUUUUUUUGGCUUUCCUUUCAACUGAUGUAUUCAUUUUUGAAACAUGCAGAUACUUCCAGUAAUGCAGCAAAUAUGUCAUAGUAGAUACAGGAUUCUUCUAAAUAAAGAUAAUUAAAGUGCAUAUGGCCAUAAGUUGAAACAUCAUGUUAUGAAAUCAAGCUCUUGGCUAGUAUAAUGUAUCUUUUUUUAUAGUUUUUCUUAUUGGCUGAUUGCUAGAUUUCUUAGUUUUUAGGCUUCUCUCAAAUUGCUUUUUAGUGCUAAUGGUCCUUAUCAGCAUUAUUGGUCUCAUAACAUUUGUGAAAAAUCCAACGACCAGUCACUUUAUGCCAGCCUUUUCAUGCACAUGGCCAUGCCCCAUCAGUUGUACGACAUAAAACGAUAGUUGUUGAUUCUAAAGCAAACCUCUUUUCUUUUCGAAACAAAAUUGGACUAGCUUUAUUUGGGAAUAGUGCAAUGCAGGAAAUAAAUUCAUAUUGAUAUUGGUUUAUUCUUGACUAGUCACAAGGAAAGGAACCCACCAGAAAGGCCAAGCCAAAUCUGUUAACAAUCUAGCUAAGCCAAAGGAACACCAUGUUUUCCCUUCAUUUUUGUUAACUUAAUUUCUUGAUUUAGCAUUGUAUCCCCUGUACUAUGUUAAGAUGCUUUAUAGUUCAUGCAAUCAAAUUUUCUGAUUUCUGAACUAACUCAAUAGUCAAUAUGUUUUAGACUAUGGAUCAGUCCUAUGAAAAUUGUAUCAUUAUAUUUGGAUUUAAAAAAUGAUUUAGAAAUGCUCUUGUUAUUUAAUAUCCCCUAGUGUACUAAUUGCCAAAGUCUAUAAGAAAAUAAAAGGCAGGGAUGUGUACGAGUAAGGCUUCUCAAAAUCCAGGCAAUGUACCUUUUAAUGAAGAUGUUGAAAAACCAUGUUCUUUAACUCAUUUGGGUUUUUUCAGUCAUAGCUAGCUUGAGGGGGGUGAUACACCAUUUUAUGUAAACAAAACUCGCCCUAGACUAUUGCACAAACAAUGAGGAAUAGACCCAGCCACCCAGGAAGCAUGCUAGCUUCAGCCCCCAUGACAGCUGAAUAUUAACUCAGCCAAAGUGCAAAGCUUUAAGAGAUUUCACUGACUAAAUUUACAGAACACAUCAUGGCUAUGUUACAUAAAUAAUGAUGCACAAACUCAAUGGAUCAUAUAUUGAGUCUCACCACAUUGAGGCUUCAUAGAUUACCCAAUCUACAUGGUAGGUAGAUAUUCAUGAAUAGUUUCUUCCUUUUUUCUUUCCUGAAUGUGUUUACUUCUUCUUGAGAAUGAUUGCUCCUUUGUACCCUAUCAAAUCAACCAAUCGUUUUCCAUUCCUGUAUUCAAGUAGAAAGCGCUCAAGUAGCUUGGGUUCUCCACACAGAAAAGUUUACGACAGAAACGGGAAAGUGAAAGGGGGAAGAAAAUAGCUCUCAGGUCAACAUUCCAAAUUUCUUCUUACAAAUAUACAACUGUCGUUU